AUGUUUACUCUGCGAGGGAAACACUAUGAUCACGAAGGUGGUUUUGCUAGGGGGAGGCUUAUCCAUUGUGCUCUGGAUGUACUGACCGCUGCGGGGAAACUCGACUGCAUAAUUUGUGAUAGUGGGUCAUUGCGUUCUUGUUUUCCUCUG
rnacentral:snRNA from 1 species